UACGUAGGGCGCGAGCGUUGUCCGGAUUUAUUGGGCGUAAAGAGCUCGUAGGCGGCUUGUCGCGUCGUCCGUGAAAACCUGCAGCUCAACUGCAGGCCUGCGGUCGAUACGGGCAGGCUAGAGUUCGGUAGGGGAGACUGGAAUUCCUGGUGUAGCGGUGAAAUGCGCAGAUAUCAGGAGGAACACCGGUGGCGAAGGCGGGUCUCUGGGCCGAUACUGACGCUGAGGAGCGAAAGCGUGGGGAGCGAACAGG
rnacentral:rRNA from 1 species